AUGGGGCGUCGCCAAGCGGUAAGGCACCGGUUUUUGGUACCGGCAUUCCCAGGUUCGAAUCCUGGCGCCCCAG
rnacentral:tRNA from 1 species